UACGGGGGAGCAAGCGUUGUUCGGAUUUACUGGGCGUAAAGGGCGCGUAGGCGGCCAGCACAAGUCAGUUGUGAAAUCUACCGAGCUUAACUCGGAAAGGUCAACUGAUACUGUGCGGCUAGAGUGGCGGAAGGGGCAACUGGAAUUCUUGGUGUAGCGGUGAAAUGCGUAGAUAUCGAAGAGGAACACCUGAGGUGAAGACGGGUUGCUGGGCUGACACUGACGCUGAGGCGCGAAAAGCCAGGGGAGGCAAAACGGG
rnacentral:rRNA from 1 species